GCGGCUGUGGUUUAGUGGUUAUGACCUGGGCUUCCCAAGCCUAGAACCCGGGUUCGAAUCCCGGUAGCCGCA
rnacentral:tRNA from 1 species